ACGCUCGACACCUACGAGAGGCAGCAGUGGGGAAUAUUGCACAAUGGGGGAAACCCUGAUGCAGCAACGCCGCGUGAAGGAAGAAGGUUUUCGGAUCGUAAACUUCUAUCAAAAGGGACGAAAGAAAUGACGGUACCUUAAUAAGAAGCCCCGGCUAACUACGUGCCAGCAGCCGCGGUAAUCUGAGCGGGCUGGCAAGGC
rnacentral:rRNA from 1 species